GCCUCGUUAGCUCAGUUGGUUGAGCGUUAGAAUUUUAAUCUAACGGUCAGGUGUUCGAGUCCCCUACGAGGCU
rnacentral:tRNA from 1 species